UUUGAAAAGGAACCACCCAAAAGAUGCCAAUAAGGAAAUUCUUUUGCAGAGCCCUAGAACUAACUUCAGGACCAUGGAAAGCUCCCUGAAAAGUUAAAGGUUGAGCCAGGAGCAGGAGAAAAAGUGAAGUCAGUAGCUACACCAUAUCCUCAACUUCUACAGAAGACAAAAUAUUCUCCACUAAAUUGAAUCAAAGCACUUCAGAGAAAUGGCUGAUUCCGGGGCUGGCUCUGAGAAAAAACAAGAUAACUAGAAUAUCUUGUGCCAGAAAGCAAGAAAACAUACAAAGUAUCAUAGGGGUCACAACAAGGGACACAGACGCCAGCUUGAAGUGGCUCUCACCAGCCAAAAAUGAGGGUUCCAUGAGAAGGACGCCACAUCUUUCACAUGCUAUUCCUGCCCAAGAUGCAUGACCUGAAUCUAUUCACCAGGGAGCAUCAGACACACCCACACAGAGUGACAUUCCACAAAAUGCUGGCUGUCCCCUCCAAAAGCGUCAUGAGAGUCCAAGAGAGACUGAGGAACACUCCAGACUGGAGGAGAUCCAAGAGACAGGACAGCUAAACACAACAGUAGAUGCUGAACUGGAUCCUUUCACUGCAAAGGACGUUAUUGGCACAAACAGGAACCUGUGAAUGGGGUCUGAGGAUUAGAUGGGAGUAAUGUUGCAGGGUUCAUGUCCUGACCUAAUAGUUUUACCGUGAUCACUAAGAGCAUGUCCUUAUUUUAAGGAAAUAGACUCUAUUGUAUUCAGGGGUGACAGGGCAUCGAUUUGACAACUUAUUUUGAAAUGGCUU